GGUCUCGUGGUGUAGCGGUAAUCACGCCUGCUUUACACGCAGGAGAUCGCUGGUCCGAUCCCGGCCGAGAUCA
rfam:Toxocara canis scaffold573, whole genome shotgun sequence.